UUUGGCGACUGUUAUGCGUUCGGGUUCGGUAUUUGAAAAAUAGGCUAAAAGUGAUGUCAAGAACAGCCUUUUUUCCUCAAAUACUGACUUCCAACCAAUCGAAUGAAUGAACUAAUUCAACAUAUGAUGGCAAGGAAUGGCUGGAGGGGCAAACAGACUGAGCAGCGCAUCUGCAAGAGGAGACUUAGCAGAAGUUGAGAUGUUAUUACAGAACGGAGCAGAUGUUAAUGAAAACAAUGUAUUCGGCAGGACACCGUUACAGGUGAUGAAACUUGGUAACCCCGCCAUCGCGGAAGCGCUGCUGAGGGCGAACGCAAAUCCAAACGUGCGCGACCAUGUCAGAGGUCUCACCAUCACUCAUGACGCUGCAAGGGAUGGAUAUGCAGACACCCUACACGUACUGAUGGAUCAUGGCGCAGACGUCAAUCUCCUGGACAAUGAUGGCAAUCUUCCAUUGCAUCUAGCCGCAAGAGAAGGCUAUCUUGAUGUGGUCCAGCUCCUUGUUGGUUGCACGAUAGAAGCCACAAGGUGCAACUCCAAAGGCCACACACCUUAUGAUUUGGCGACUAUGAACCAUAGAGUAUCCAUUGCGCAAUACAUUCAGGGGCACACCAAUUAAUGAAUAUAUAUCGGACAAUCCUGGCUGGGAUAGCGAGGUCGUAGGCCUACAUAAGAACGAGGAAGAAAGUAGCAAAAACAUGUAGGUCAAUCUACCUCUCUGGUUACAAUGUAUUUGGAUGUUUUUCAGACAUGAUAGCCUCAAUUCUCAAUCAUAAAGGAUGGCCCUAGCAUGAACGUUUCCUCCUAACCUAAUAAGAAAACAUAGCCUAUUUUGGUUUUGACUCCAAUUUUCUCCAUCACAGAACAAAUGUGACGAGAUUAUAUGCCACUGGAAUGAUCAUUUGAAUCUAUUUAAUAUAUUAAAGCAUUUUUAGGCCGACAGCAUUUCCCUAACAACAUCUCCAGCUGCUUUGUUUCUCUUUUUUUCUCAUGUUUUUCCGAUAUUCCCUAGUGGUACACGUAAGGUGGGGAUUUGUCUUUCRAAUUCAAUUCAUUACCAACAUUUUAAUAACUAUUUGAGAUGUGGGUUUGAUAAUUCAACGACUAUUUCAAAUGAAAUGAGGAACAAUAUUUUAUUGUUUAACUUCAAGACCAUAGGCUGUAGGUAUUAGAAUAGAUGACCCUCUUCAUCCAAGGUAGCCUACUCUUGUGCGCAUAGCAAAUGUYUUAUUUUGUCCCGAUAGCCCAUUUUGUUAAUUAAACCCAUGCUAUUUUGAGUAAUAACCCAGUGACCUAGGCUUACCUUCAUUCUCCUUGUCCAGACCAUUGGGCAAAAAUKAUCAAACUAAUGGUAGUCUGACUGUAUCGGCAAUUCUUUUCGAUUUUCAGUGCAUUUGUAAAUAAUCAUACAAAUAGAUUUUGUAAGGAACUGUGAAAGCACGCGUUUACUAAUAUUCACGUUUUGUUUUUUUUAACCAAAGACAACAACUGUCUGCAGGUCUUACCUGAUUUUCUGUUUGGCUUUUAGAUAGCAAUUUGGUUGAAAUAUAAUGUAUGUAGGGCUAUACUACCAGUAGGCCUCGUUUUACUGUAUUAUCUUCUAUUUGAAUAUUGCUAAUCGAUGUUUUUCACUGUUGUUUGAUUUGUGAGACGA